AACGAACGCUGGCGGCAGGCUUAACACAUGCAAGUCGAGCGCCCCGCAAGGGGAGCGGCAGACGGGUGAGUAACGCGUGGGAACGUACCUUUUGGUUCGGAACAACUCCGGGAAACUGGAGCUAAUACCGGAUAAGCCCUAACGGGGAAAGAUUUAUCGCCGAAAGAUCGGCCCGCGUCUGAUUAGCUAGUUGGUGAGGUAACGGCUCACCAAGGCGACGAUCAGUAGCUGGUCUGAGAGGAUGAUCAGCCACACUGGGACUGAGACACGGCCCAGACUCCUACGGGAGGCAGCAGUGGGGAAUAUUGGACAAUGGGCGCAAGACUGAUCCAGCCAUGCCGCGUGAGUGAUGAAGGACUUAGGGUUGUAAAGCUAUUUUGUCCGGGAAGAUAAUGACUGUACCGGAAGAAUAAGCCCCGGCUAACUUCGUG
rnacentral:rRNA from 1 species